UAACCCUCCCCACCCAGGAAAGUGGUUUUUUUUUUUUUUCUUUUCUUUUUGACAAAAAGUGAAGUGCUUGGAGGGAAAUGCAGUUCCCUUUAACCUCGGCUCUUACAACCCCUUGACUGAGAGUUCUCAGCACUGACAUGUCUCAGCAUCCUUGGUGGACUGUGUCACAGAUGGAGUUAUUGGGAUCUGAUUUAGGGGCAUCUGACUAAGCUAGAAGUCAUCCCACUCACAUACCGAGUGAGUGGGAUGAGUACAUUAAAAGAGGGCUUCCUGAGAGGUUUUUGUGUUAAAAAUCCGAGCCAGAGGCACAUGGAGGGAACAGAUGUAGCAUUCUUACUAAUUGUAGAUCCAGCUGACAGCCAGAAUUGAUGGCUAACUAGUGAGUGAUGCAUUGUGGAAACCCGGUCUGGCCCAUAACAUUUUUUUUUUAAAGAUUCAUUUAUUUUUUAUUCAUGUACAUGUUCUGUGUACUAAGUGUUUGCAGAGCCCUUGGAAGCCAAAAGUGGGCAUUGGAUCUUCUGGAACUGAAGUUACAGUCUGCUGCCAGCUGGAUCUACUAGUAGGUACUGGACUUGAUUCCAGAUCCUUUGGAGGAGCAGCCAGUGCUCUUAACCCCUAAGCCAUUGGUCCUGUCUCCCAAGAACAGUCUUGAUAGCACAUUACAAUCAUAUUAAGUAUCAAAAGUCAAAAAUAAUAGCUGACCCUGAUCAGUAAACACCGCUGUGAGCAAAAGUUGGUCAGAGGAAUAGAAUCAUCUUUUCGAUUUGUGAAGACCACACUGAUUACAAUGUGGGUAACAGACUGGUGGGGACUGAGGGAGUUGGGCAAACCAGGUGGUAAGGUGUGUGGUUUGACACACAGAAUAGUCAAAUCCGGUGAUGGCUGGAUUUGGAAGGGCAGACUCUAGAGGGAGGGAAUAAGCCAGUAGGGCUUAAUGUGAAGGAAGGGGUUAGAGAGGACUGUUAGAGAUGUGUUGGUUACUGGCCACAGAGCCAGAUGGAUAUUCCUGUCUACUGAAGACAGCCCCCGUUCACUCCCCGCAAGGCACAGUUUUUCUGCCUAGCCCUGGCUGUCCUGGAACUCUUUCUGUAGACCAGGCUGGCCUUGAACUCACAGAGAUUUGCCUGCCUCUGCCUCCUGUACUGGGAUUAAAGGCUUGCACCACCACCUCCCAGCCUGAAUAUAGGUUUAAGCUGGCAAGAAUCAUGAAUUGGUUACCUCGUGAUCUUAUGAGAUAUUCCAUGAGAUAUAAUAUUAUGAUUUAUGCUGUAUCUAAAGUCCUCUUGAGAGUUUCAAGAGAAUUCAUGAUGAGAAUGAGCAACUAUAGGCAGCCAGGUCUAGAGAUCAGGUGAUGGAUAGUAGCAGAAAGUGGGGGUGUGGAAGUCUUGAGGGAUGUGGAGAGGGCCAGUAAAAGGAAGUGCUAGGACUGAUUUUAUGGGCGGCACUGGAAAGGAACUGGAGGAGCAGAAUCAAUGCUUUAUGAUUAUAAAUAAAUUCCCUCAGCCACACAAGCCUGAAAGAUAAGUUGUUCGGGCACAGUAUUUAUAAUAAAAUUGAGUGAGGGCUGAUGAGGUGGCUCAGGGCUUAUAUUGCUCUUGCAGAGGACCUGAGUUCACUUUCUAGCAUUUAUGUUGUCUGGCUCACAACUGCCUGUAAUUCCAGCUCCAGGGAAUCAAAUAUCCUUUCCUAGCCUCUGUGGGCACUGCGUGCAUGAGUGCAAACCCAUACAUAGAUGCACAUCCAUAUAUAUAAUUAAAAAUAGAUCAUACAUAGACACACACAUAUAAUUAAAAAUAGAUCAUGAAAAAGAAAUUUUAAAAAUUGAGUAAUAUCAUGACACUGGAAUUGAAAAGCUAGAGAUGUAACAGACCGAUGAUCACUAAGUGAAGAACACACAUCCGUGUGCAGCCCUGGCACAUGCUGUGACAUGCCAUGAACGGAUGUGAUGGCAUGGCACAUAUCAUGUUUCCCUCUUUGUUUACAUUUUAGUUUAUUUUGGGGGUGUGUGUAUAGGUGAGAGGAAAACAUCCAAGGAUUCUCCUUUACUCUCUGUUCCAGGUCAUCAGGCUUGGUGGCAAGUGUCUACUGUGCCAUCUUGUCCUUCCAUUCCGCACCCCUCCCCCACAGGUAUCACUAUGUAGCCCUGAAACUUCUUAAAUCCUGACUGAUUUAGUAAGAACAAAAGUAAUUAUUUAGUAUUUCUCUCAUACUAAAAUUGAAGAGUUUGGGAGGUGUUUAAGAGGCAUGGAUGGCUGUUUCGUUCUGUUCGGUUUUCUCUUACUAUCAUCCAUUAGUGUUCCAGGGUCUGGCAUAGACUCUUAAGCCUGGGUGCAUAGAAAUACCUGGGACAUUUACUAAAGCCAUAUUCCUGGAGAUUCUGACUGAAUCUGUCAUAGGGUCCAUCCUCCAUGGCUAAGUGAGCGAUAAGUGAAGGUGACAGCCAUUAGUUUGCUGUCCCUAAACCACCAUCGGCUUCUUCAGUGGGCCAUGUCCUCUCACAGCCAUUGUGUCAUUCAGAUCAGGUUCCUGAGAUUUCUCCUACAGGCAGCUCUCCCUGCCUCUUCCGGUCCCUCUCUCUCUGGUCUUAGUCAGUGGUCUUUUUCUUGUGUUUACCUUCCUUUGAUUUAUCAUGCUUUUUGCCUGUUUUUUCCCCCCACAUUGAACUAAGAGACCCUGGGAAGAGAACUUUUAAUGUGAGACUUCUGCUUAGCAGUCUGUAUAGCACACAGUCAAUUUUUAAGUAUUUGUGAAAUAAUGAAAGAAGGGAAGCCAUGACUCUUUUUUAUGCUGUGACUUACAGUCAGUCAAAUGAUCUCUCCAAACAUUUUGCCAUUACUAAUUGGCAAGAAUAACCAAGACUGGUCUGGGCAGUCAGUUCUGGAAUAAAAACAGCCAGUGACUGAGCAUCAGGUAAUCCUAGGUUCACAUUCUGACAAGUUUGGGGACUUGGGCAAAUUCAAGAUGCUUGACUUCUUCAUCUGUAAAACAUGGGGCUGACAUUUCCUGCACAAUGGUAUCACUGAGACUCAAUAAAAUAGCUCUUGUAAGCUGGCUAGCCCAUAGCAAGUGUUACAUUUUGAGUUCCUGUCUUUGGGAGACUCCAUGGCAUGACAGAGCUAAAUACUUGCAGAGUCCAGCUCUGCUGUUUAUUAGCUGUGUGCCUUUGGGCAUAUUAUGAUGCUCAGAAGCCUCGUUUGGAGCAUGGACAAAAACACAAUUGUCCUUAUGGGGCACUAUUUUAUCAUCCCUAAUGCUAUCCCUAACGUCAUUACUAAAGGUGGCAUGAUUUUAGCUAUACUAAAAUUUUGUCGCAUGUUCUGAAAACAAUCUUGAAUUAUCUAUGGAUUAUCAUUUGUAUGGCAGUUCCCUUUUAGUUUGUUUUCUACACAGGCACUGUAAGCAGUGAGCUGAGUUCCGUAGUUCUGCAGGUCAGUCCCCCAGCCCCCAGUGGUAUACACCCAGGUGGCCAUCCUUCAUAAACGUGUAUAUACAUUCUGAACACAUGCUUUCCCUGUGUAACCCGAGCACUGUCCACCUCAGGGGCUCUUUGGAUCCACCUCCUCUCUGCCUCAGCUAGGUAGUCUUUUCAGAUUGUCUUGCCCAGGAUGUUCAGAGAGGCCACAGCCUUGGCCUGUCAUGCUCCAAAAGGACAAAAUGGACUCAGCGUUGUGAAAGCUGAAGAAGAAAAUGUCUGGCGGCGGCGGCGGCGGGACUUCAGUCUUCAGGGAAAGCUGCAGAGUCAGGAGGUUUUCCGCCAGCAGUUUAGACAGUUUGGCUACUCUGACUUCGCUGGGCCCCGGGAGGCCCUGGACCACCUGCAGAAGCUUUGCCAGCAGUGGCUGAGGCCAGAGGAGCACUCCAAGGAGCAGAUCCUGGAGCUGCUGGUGCUGGAGCAGUUUGUGGCCAUCCUGCCUGUGGAGCUGCAGGCCUGGGUGCAGGAGCACAGACCUGGAAACGGAGAGGAGGCUGUUACUCUGCUGGAGGAGCUGGAGAGAGAAUUUGAUGAACCUAAACAACAGGACACAGCUCAUGGCCAUGAGAUGAUCUGCAGAGAAAUGACACUCAUGGGAACACAGAAGUCUCCAAGUAGCCCACUGCAGUCCCUGGAGAACCACUGCAGGAGUGAAGCCCAGGAGCCCCAGGGUUUCCAGGAGCGAGAUGAGGCAACCCUACUAUUUAGGGUUGAGGAAGGAGAUAGCAAGAUGGUGGCUGACAAAGUAUUGACAGCAAAGCAAGAAAUUGUUGAAUGUGUUCCAGCAGUGGCCGUGGCAUCUCCAGGAAGACUUCCUAGGGCAGCUUCUCCAGUACAGACAGCUGAACAAACUCUGCAGUAUCUGGACACCAAUGAGAAGCAAAGAGGAAGUGAUACAAGCAACAAAAUGAGUCCACUUUCUUCCCAGGAAAGCUAUCUCAGUCUGGCAGCCUUUACCAAGAAACCCUCCACAGAACAGAGCACCUUCGAGUGUAAUGAAGGGGAAGGACUUCUCAGUCUAAACUUACAUGGUACUACACAGCCCAGAACGACCACAGGGAAACUGCUCUAUGAGUGCUUGGAUUGUGGGAAAGCUUUCUGCCAUAGGUCAAAGCUGAUUAGACAUCAAAGAAGUCAUACUGGAGAGAGACCUUAUGCAUGUAAAGAAUGUGGAAAAGCCUUUGGUUUCAGAACAGAUCUUGUCAGACAUCAGAGAAUUCACAGUGGUGAAAAACCCUACAAAUGUUCUGACUGUGGAAAAGCUUUCAGGGGCAGCUCAGGGCUUAUUAGGCACAGGAGAAUUCAUACUGGAGAGAAACCUUAUGGUUGUGAUGAAUGUGGGAAAGCCUUCAGCCAGAGCUCUACUCUUAUUCAGCAUAAGAAGAUUCACAGUGGAGACAAAGGCUAUGAAUGUACUGAAUGUGGUAAGGCUUUUAGGAGAAGUUCUGUUCUUAUGGAACAUCAAAGAAUCCAUACUGGUGAGAAACCUUAUGAAUGUAAUGAAUGUGAAAAAUCCUUUAAUCAAAGCUCAGCACUCACCCAGCACCAGAGAACCCACUCUGGGGAAAAACCUUAUGGAUGUUAUGAAUGUAAGAAAAUAUUUAGGCACAGGUCAGGCCUUAUGCAGCAUCAGAGAACACACACCAGAGUUCAACUCUGUGGGUAAGAGUUGUGUAAUUGUGAAAGGCAGGGAAUUCACUUUGAAGGUUAGACUCCACAAAAAAAUAGAAGUUUCCUGACUGUAGGACUUGUGUCUCUCCAGCCUAGUUCAGUUCUGUAAAAAAAUCCACACAAAAAUGCUUCUAUAUCUAGAUCUUGUCAAUGAAGAAUGGUGAAAAGACUGACCCAUUUCUGAAUGAGGACUCUCACCAAUCUGCUCUUCAUCCCAUUCUUCACUACAGAUGAGCUGUCUUUGAGCACCUUCAUGUAAGUCCAUGACUGAGACACAGAUCCUGCAAGAUCUCUUUGUAAGGUGGCAAAGAUCACUGUUCAGCAAAGUGUUUGUGUCUGAUGGGAGUAGGCAUGUUUUAAGAGUUACUGAACUCUGAAAUGUUGAAUUGAGGCUAUGAAAUGUCAUGUCCUGAAUCAGUUUAAUAUCUGAGGGAUGGAAGCUCUUUCUGCCUGCCCCCUUGCCAGUUCUUUCCACCCGGAGUUUCCUGUUGCAGUCUGCACCCUUAUUUGGUACCUCCUGGGCUUAACCACUGGAAGAACAGACUUGGUCACUGCACUCUCAAAAUAAAGGGCUCAUGGAUAUACAGAUUUAUUGGACAAGUUAUUACGGUGGGAGUAUGGCAAUAACUGCCAGAUAAAUCAGUGUUCUGUUGGAAGACAUUUCAGAGAUGCUUUACCUGAUCUACGAGGUAACUAAAGAUUUCCUGGGUGUGAUAUGUCAUUGGAGACCUAAGAUACAGAAGUUGCCUGGCUAUUGGCAGAACAGAAGCAGAGUUUUUCAUACGUACAUGGCAUGAUGAGAAGAGAGGGUCUGGAGACAUUCCUGUUGCUUGACUUCAAUUCCUGCUCAAGUUUUCUUUGACCCCAGUUCAGAAGCCAGUUGCAGGCUGUGGAAAUGAGGGAGAAAGACAGGUAUGAAGCUGAUUUAAGACCCAUGUGAGGCAAGCACUGCUUCAGACUGCCACUGGAGCAAGAGGAAGAAAAGCACAGAGCAGAGAGAAGGACAUUAGUUAUUUCCUCUCUGAAAAGGCUGUUGAAACUGACCAUAAGAUCAUCUUUAGCUCCUUUAACAUGAGCCUAUAGCUGUGAGCUAACAACUUGUUUAUGCCUGUUGAAUUCAUGGAAAAGCACUCAUGACGGAAGUUCUCAGCCACAAAUCUUCAUGCAGCCAACUUGCACAGGAAUUUAGAAUCUGAAGGGGAUUCUUCUAAUACUAUAAAGUAGGUAUGUCUGCAUUGAUUUCAUCAACAAUGAAAGACCAGAGUUAAGUUAGUUAAGACUUGGGAAAGGGAUGUCCUAGAAGGCAAGGGCUUAUUUUCACACCUAUUUUGGGCCUUUGUUUACUACCUGCUCUGCCUAGGGCUGGGGAAUCUAGGGAUUAAGCUUGAGGCCUUAAACAUGGUAAACUUAUGCUUUACAACUGAACUGUAUUCUCUUGCCCCUUCCUCUACAAACAGUAUUAGAUUUUGCAGUAAAACUUGAACUAUAAAAACAACACACUACCUGUAACUUCAUCACCCAGGAGUAACCAGUAUAACAUCUUGACAUAUAUUUCCAUUAUUUUUAAUGCAUAAUGUUUUACACGGAUCAUGUUGUAUAUAUUGUGUAUUUAAUAUAUCAUGAAUGUUUAACAUGUUUUAACAGCUUGUAAGGAUGCACAUUCAGGGGUUCUUAAGUGUAUUUCUGGGUAGAAUGUCAAAUUCCAAAGCAGUGCUUAAGGCUUCUGGCCAGAGAUAUGUAUUCACAGACCAUUAGCAGCAAGAGAGUCCUAAUUUGCUCGAAUCCUUGUUAAUUUUACAUGGAAAACAAAUACCACCUUCACCCCUAUUCCAAUAUGACUAUAACUUGUAAGACUGGACAUAUAUGUAUUGUUCACAGACACAUCUGUGAUUUAAAUGUUAAUGGGACUUUUUCAUGGAUAGUAGUAAAGUGCUUCCAGAAUAGAGUUCUGAGUUAAAAUUCUGACCUUUUAGCUAUGAUAGCCUCCAUUUCCUAUGUGUAAAAUAUGAUUUGUACUAAUGACUAACACAUACAUAAAGCCCUUGGCAAAUAAC